CUCAGUAGUAGUGUGCUUGCUUAACU
rnacentral:piRNA from 1 species